UACAGAGGGGGCAAGCGUUGUUCGGAAUUACUGGGCGUAAAGGGCGCGUAGGCGGCCUUCUAAGUCGAACGUGAAAUCCCUGGGCUCAACCCAGGAACUGCGUCCGAUACUGGAAGGCUUGAAUCCGGGAGAGGGAUGCGGAAUUCCAGGUGUAGCGGUGAAAUGCGUAGAUAUCUGGAGGAACACCGGUGGCGAAGGCGGGUCUCUGGGCAACUACUGACGCUGAGGAGCGAAAGCGUGGGGAGCGAACGAGG
rnacentral:rRNA from 1 species